rnacentral:rRNA from 1 species
AUGUGCCACCUCAGUGCCGCCGGGCAUGGGCCAUUGCUCCCAGCGAUGCUGGAGGCUCCCUCCGCCCGACAAAGUGUGGAUCUGCAGGGAGGUGGAAGCUGCACCGGGGAGUUACUCUCCGGGCCACUAACCACCAUGGAUCUAUGGAUCGGGAGCGGUGCUUCAUAUUGUGAUGUGCCACCUCAGUGCCGCCGGGCAUGGGCCAUUGCUCCCAGCGAUGCUGGAGGCUCCCUCCGCCCGACAAAGUGUGGAUCUGCAGGGAGGUGGAAGCUGCACCGGGGAGAAAGGUCAGAUACGAGAGAAGAGAGAUGGGAGAAUAAGGAGAGGAGGCGGAGGUCGGCAGGCGACUUGGGAGACGGCGGCGGCUCAUCAGUGUCUCUGAUGGCAGCGGGGUCGUGUGGUGUCGAGGUGGCAGAAGAAGCUCGGGCGGGGAUGAGAUCCUCCUCUGGAAUCCUCUCUCCUCAUUAG